GUAAUUAUAGUUUAAUGAAAACACCAGUCUGUGGGCCUGGAGACAGAAGACAAAACUUCUUACUUACC
rnacentral:tRNA from 1 species